rnacentral:rRNA from 1 species
CCUACGGGAGGCUGCAGUAGGGAAUCUUCCGCAAUGGACGAAAGUCUGACGGAGCAACGCCGCGUGAGCGAAGAAGGUCUUCGGAUCGUAAAGCUCUGUUGUUAGGGAAGAACAAGUACCGGAGUAACUGACGGUACCUUGACGGUACCUAACCAGAAAGCCACGUCUAACUACGUGCCAGCAGCCGCGGUAACACGUAGGUGGCAAGCGUUGUCCGGAAUCAUUGGGCGUAAAGCGGGCGCAGGCGGUCCUUUAAGGCUGAUGUGAAAUCUUGCGGCUAAGCCGUAAGCGGUCAUUGGAAACUGGGGGACUUGAGUGCAGGAGAGGAAAGCGGAAUUCCAUGUGAAGCGGUGAAAUGCGUAGAAAUAUGGAGGAACACCAGUGGCGAAGGCGGGUUUCUGGACAGUAACUGACGCUGAGGCGCGAACGCGUGGGGAGCAAACAGGAUUAGAUACCCUAGUAGUC